UUCGAGUACUGAAUCAAGUGCAUAAGGAAACCAUUGCCUUGAGGAACACAUAAAAUCAAUUUAAAUGACCAAUCAGUAGGAACAAAAGGAAUCCUACGUCAAUCUCCAUUACAAUAAGGAACCUGUACUGUUUCCAUCCCUGUGACUCUAAGGAAGAAAGCUAACAGAAGUAUGAAG